CUCACCAAUGGACAAGAAUCUCUUUUUCGUGAAUUCUAUGUCAUUUCUUCACUUUAGGCCGAAGUCUCUCUCCACUGUAAUGAGCAAGUGCCAAAGCCAAAUUCUCAGCCAUUGGCAAAGCCCUUCUUUGCAAUGGGCAACAGCCUUACUCCAUGAGCUAAAAGGCCAAUAACCUUUUUUACCAUUCUCCUAUUUAUAGUAUUAAUUUCCUCGAUCCUAAUCUGAUUAGGAGUCUCACUUAAUUUAAGAUUAAUACUAACAUAAGAGUUACUUUAUAUAGGAAA
rnacentral:misc_RNA from 1 species